ACGGACAAAAUGAUCAUAACGUAGAAAUUAAGUGCCGGAUAGAGCAGGCACGCAAGGCAUUGAUGAAGUUGCGCCACUCAGUGCAACCUAUCCUUAAAGAUCUCUACCAGGGUGCGUUUGCCUCGAUGCUAUGUUUUUUCGGUUCUUCUGUACGGUGUCGAAUCAUGGACCUUAACUCACAAUAGGAGCAAUCGAUUAGAGGCAUUUGAAAUGUGGGUGUACAGAAGAAUUCUAAGAAUAUCAUGGACGAAUAGUUUCUAAUGAAAGGCUUUUGCAGAUGGUCAACAAAGGGGCAGAAGUUUUAAAGAUAAUAAAGCAACGAAAACUGUAAUAUCAGGGACAUAUAAUAGGUGGGGAUAAGUACAAAUUGCUCCAACUAAUAAUACAGGGGAA
rnacentral:misc_RNA from 1 species